UACAGAGGUCUCAAGCGUUGUUCGGAUUCAUUGGGCGUAAAGGGUGCGUAGGCGGGUCUUUAAGUCAGGGGUGAAAUCCUGGAGCUCAACUCCAGAACUGCCUUUGAUACUGAGGAUCUUGAGUUCGGGAGAGGUGAGUGGAACUGCGAGUGUAGAGGUGAAAUUCGUAGAUAUUCGCAAGAACACCAGUGGCGAAGGCGGCUCACUGGCCCGGUACUGACGCUGAGGUGCGAAAGCGUGGGGAGCAAACAGG
rnacentral:rRNA from 1 species